rnacentral:lncRNA from 1 species
UCUUUUGAAGAAUGUGUUAAACGAUGUUUGGAUAUCGAGACCCACGGGAGUGAUCACAUUCCCAUGUAACUUAUCAUCAAAGUUAUGUCCAGGUCCUUCCCCCAGAGCACCAUUCAAUUAAUUGACUCGACUACUUUUGCCUCUGUCAUGGAAGAUGCUUGUCGAGAGGGCUUGUCCUCUGGAUUAGAGGAAACAAUCAAGUGCGCAAUGCGAGACGCCGCGCGCACGGUCACGGUUUCGUCGAAGCACACAGAUUUCG